GCCCAAAUGCAGGUCUUGAACUCACGUACUGUGAGAUCGUGACCUGGGCCGAUACCAAGAGUCAGAGAUGUUUAACCGACUGAGCCGUCCAGGUGCCCCUGCGAUCUUUUAGACUAAAGACAGGGCAACUGAAGUCUGGUGGAGUUAACGCCGUGAAGGUUGUUUUAAACACUUCAUUUUGAGCUCACAUUUUUUCAACACAGCAUGAGUGGGUUUAAAUCAAGAUUUUCUCGGCAGGUGAGCAGGCUUUACAGUCAAUGCAUCGAUGGCCCAGGUAAUCUUUAUAAAGACACCGGUUUCUCAGCCUGCAGGUUCGGACAUACUCCUAAGACCGUACUAAAAGAGAACCCCCAUAGAGACCACAGAGGCACCUCAGAACAUGGUACUUUUGCCACUUAGGACUAAAGAGGAUCGUUUGCACAUUCCCGGGGAGACGUCUUUGGAGAUACUCAAUUGCCUGGCUGCCAGUGGCAGAAGCCUCAUCUCUUUCACGCGCAGGGAUCGUUGGCCGCGCUUUUUGUGAGGAUUCAAUCUUAGAAGUGAAGAGACCUUGACAGUUUCUGGCACAGAUUGUCUGCUAGUAUGAAAGGACAUUACCCUCUCGAUGAAGAGUUGCCUUGAGAGCAAAGCAGAGAAUUUCGUAUUGAAGUUCCCAGACCAUGGUGUCUGCAGACCUACAACUUACUCUAAAAUGGUUGAGUGAAAAUUCACAGAGAGAGAGAGAGAGAGAGAGAGAGAGAGGGAAUAAAGAGUAAACCAACUGGGACACAGUGUUGACCACAGGAUCCCAUUUUGGGAGGGAACAUUGCAUUUGGUUGUAUGCCCUUAACCUCUUCGGAUCUGUGACAAUCCGUCGUUCCUAUUCUUUCAUGGCCUCGAUGUGAAGAGUGCUCAUCAGGUGUCUUGGAGACCGCUCCUCAGUUUGGGUUUGUCUCAUGUUUUCUCACGGUUGGACUAAGGCUCUGCGUGUUGGGGAGGAAGAACACAGAGGUGAGGUGACUUGUGACAACGACAUGACGUCACUGGUCACGUUAACGGAUCAUUUGGCAGGUGGCACCUGCCGGGUUUUGCCACUGCAGAGUUGGUAUUUUUCCCUUCCCAUUUUUAGUUAUUUGGCGAUGAGUCACGGAGUCCACUUCCCAUGCAGGGGAAGACCAUUAGAUCCCCCUCCUGAAGGGAGGCAUGUCCAAGAAUUUGCAGACCUUUGUUAAAAUGCCACUGUAAUUAAUACAUAUAUCGGGAGAGAUACUUUGAGGACAUACGAAUAUCUGUUUCUUAAAGUUUCAGCCUCUGAUUUUAUUUAUUUAUUUGUUUAUUUCGCGUUUUAUUUAUUUUGACAGAGAGAGAGAGCAUGUGAAUGGGGCGGGCAGAGUGAGGAGGGGCAGAGAGAGGGAGAGAGAGAAUCCCAA